GUGAGGAAUUUUCCGCAAUGGGCGAAAGCCUGACGGAGCAAUGCCGCGUGAAGGAUGAAGGCCUAUGGGUUGUAAACUUCUUUUCUCAGAAAAGAAUUAUGACGGUAUCUGAGGAAUAAGCAUCGGCUAACUCCGUGCCAGCAGCCGCGGUAAUACGGAGGAUCCAAGCGUUGUCCGGAUUUAUUGGGUUUAAAGGGUGCGUAGGCGGAUCUUUAAGUCAGUGGUGAAAGCCUGCAGCUUAACUGUAGAAUUGCCAUUGAAACUGAAGAUCUUGAAUGUGGUUAAAGUAGGCGGAAUGUAUCAUGUAGCGGUGAAAUGCUUAGAUAUGAUACAGAACACCGAUAGCGAAGGCAGCUUGCUGAACCAUUAUUGACGCUGAGGCACGAAAGCGUGGGGAGCGAACAGGAUUAGAAACCCUUGUAGUCC
rnacentral:rRNA from 1 species